ACGAACGCUGGCAGCAUGCCUAACACCUGCAAGUCGCACGAGACCUUCGGGUCUAGUGGCGCACGGGUGCGUAACGCGUGGGAACCUGCCCUUAGGUUCGGAAUAACUCCCCGAAAGGGGUGCUAAUACCGGAUAAUGUCUUCGGACCAAAGAUUUAUCGCCUUUGGAUGGGCCCGCGUUGGAUUAGCUAGUUGGUAGGGUAAAAGCCUACCAAGGCGACGAUCCAUAGCUGGUCUGAGAGGAUGAUCAGCCACACUGGGACUGAGACACGGCCCAGACUCCUACGGGAGGCAGCAGUGGGGAAUAUUGGACAAUGGGCGAAAGCCUGAUCCAGCAAUGCCGCGUGAGUGAUGAAGGCCUUAGGGUUGUAAAGCUCUUUUACCCGGGAUGAUAAUGACAGUACCGGGAGAAUAAGCUCCGGCUAACUCCGUG
rnacentral:rRNA from 1 species